rnacentral:tRNA from 2 species
GGAGAGGUGGCUGAGUGGUCGAAAGCACCGGUUUCGAAAACCGGCAUACCGCAAGGUAUCGGGAGUUCGAAUCUCCCCCUCUCCGCCA